rnacentral:rRNA from 1 species
CACUCCUGCGGGAGGCAGCAGUGGGGAAUUUUGGACAAUGGGCGAAAGCCUGAUCCAGCCAUGCCGCGUGCAGGAUGAAGGCCUUCGGGUUGUAAACUGCUUUUGUACGGAACGAAACGGCCUUUUCUAAUAAAGAGGGCUAAUGACGGUACCGUAAGAAUAAGCACCGGCUAACUACGUGCCAGCAGCCGCGGUAAUACGUAGGGUGCAAGCGUUAAUCGGAAUUACUGGGCGUAAAGCGUGCGCAGGCGGUUAUGUAAGACAGUUGUGAAAUCCCCGGGCUCAACCUGGGAACUGCAUCUGUGACUGCAUAGCUAGAGUACGGUAGAGGGGGAUGGAAUUCCGCGUGUAGCAGUGAAAUGCGUAGAUAUGCGGAGGAACACCGAUGGCGAAGGCAAUCCCCUGGACCUGUACUGACGCUCAUGCACGAAAGCGUGGGGAGCAAACAGGAUUAGAUACCCCGGUAGUCCCAUG